CCUACGUGAGGUAGCAGUGGGGAAUAUUGGGCAAUGGGCGCAAGCCUGACCCAGCAACGCCGCGUGAAGGAAGAAGGCUUUCGGGUUGUAAACUUCUUUUAAGAGGGAAGAGUAGAAGACGGUACCUCUUGAAUAAGCCACGGCUAACUACGUGCCAGCAGCCGCGGUAAUACGUAGGUGGCAAGCGUUGUCCGGAUUUAUUGGGUUUAAAGGGUGCGCAGUCGGAAGAUCAAGGCAGCGGUAAAAUUGAGAGGCUCAACCUCUUCGAGCCGUUGAAACUGGUUUUCUUGAGUGAGCGAGAAGUAUGCGGAAUGCGUGGUGUAGCGGUGAAAUGCAUAGAUAUCACGCAGAACUCCGAUUGCGAAGGCAGCAUACCGGCGCUCAACUGACGCUCAUGCACGAAAGUGUGGGUAUCGAACAGGAUUAGAUACCCGAGUAGUC
rnacentral:rRNA from 1 species